rnacentral:rRNA from 1 species
UAACACAUGCAAGUCGAACGAGAGAUGAGGAGCUUGCUCUUCAAAUCGAGUGGCGAACGGGUGAGUAACGCGUGAGGAACCUGCCUCAAAGAGGGGGACAACAGUUGGAAACGACUGCUAAUACCGCAUAAGCCCACGGCUCGGCAUCGAGCAGAGGGAAAAGGAGCAAUCCGCUUUGAGAUGGCCUCGCGUCCGAUUAGCUAGUUGGUGAGGUAAUGGCCCACCAAGGCGACGAUCGGUAGCCGGACUGAGAGGUUGAACGGCCACAUUGGGACUGAGACACGGCCCAGACUCCUACGGGAGGCAGCAGUGGGGAAUAUUGCACAAUGGGGGAAACCCUGAUGCAGCGACGCCGCGUGGAGGAAGAAGGUCUUCGGAUUGUAAACUCCUGUUGUUGAGGAAGAUAACGACGGUACUCAACAAGGAAGUGACGGCUAACUACGUGCCAGCAGCCGCGGUAAAACGUAGGUCACAAGCGUUGUCCGGAAUUACUGGGUGUAAAGGGAGCGCAGGCGGGAGAACAAGUUGGAAGUGAAAUCCAUGGGCUCAACCCAUGAACUGCUUUCAAAACUGUUUUUCUUGAGUAGUGCAGAGGUAGGCGGAAUUCCCGGUGUAGCGGUGGAAUGCGUAGAUAUCGGGAGGAACACCAGUGGCGAAGGCGGCCUACUGGGCACCAACUGACGCUGAGGCUCGAAAGUGUGGGUAGCAAACAGGAUUAGAUACCCUGGUAGUCCACACCGUAA